rnacentral:rRNA from 1 species
UACGAAGGGGGCUAGCGUUGGCUCGGAAUCACUGGGCGUAAAGGGUGCGUAGGCGGGUCUUUAAGUCAGGGGUGAAAUCCUGGAGCUCAACUCCAGAACUGCCUUUGAUACUGAAGAUCUUGAGUUCGGGAGAGGUGAGUGGAACUGCGAGUGUAGAGGUGAAAUUCGUAGAUAUUCGCAAGAACACCAGUGGCGAAGGCGGCUCACUGGCCCGAUACUGACGCUGAGGCACGAAAGCGUGGGGAGCAAACAGG